CCUUCUUCAGGGAAAUGGCCGCUUCCCAUUUGUGUGGUGGAGUGCUGCCCAUCAAAUUCUGAGUUUACAAUCUCACCUCCCCACUCAAUCAUUGUAGCACUGUCGGCCAGGUAAGAGAAGAGCGAAGCUGGCCAAUAUCCUAGCACAUAGUUAUUUCCAAAUUGUAUCCACCAGUUACCCUCUUUUGGGUCCUUCCAAAUAAGUAGGCUGAUAUCAUAUUGGGAGCUACCAUAGCUAGAAACAGGGUAGAUGCUUGCACCCAUUGCUAUUUGAUUAUUGAUUUGAAUAAAGCCUGAACACAGGAGAUUGUAGCAACCCGUGGCUUGAUAUGCAUCACUAGUCCAAUAAGUGAAGAGUCUAGUUCUGUUAUCUCCAUAUAAAUCUGGACUGACCUGCCAGCCAGCUUCAA
rnacentral:misc_RNA from 1 species